CAGUAGGGAAUCUUCCACAAUGGGCGCAAGCCUGAUGGAGCAACACCGCGUGAGUGAAGAAGGGUUUCGGCUCGUAAAGCUCUGUUGUUAAAGAAGAACACGUAUGAGAGUAACUGUUCAUACGUUGACGGUAUUUAACCAGGAAGUCACGGCUAACUACGUGCCA
rnacentral:rRNA from 1 species